CUAGCAAGUCACAAUCUCACUUGAGGCGCUGUUUCCUCCUCUGUCAAGUGUGGAUACUAAUGCUUGUCUGGAUCACCUCAUGGAGUUAUUCUAAAACACAACAGGAUAUACUAAUCUGUGUUAUGUGACAGGAGUGUUGGAUAUGAAGUUACACAUCAAAGUCAAAUGUCCCAUCUCCUAAGUUCAACACAAUGAAUUAAUUUUUUCCAGUCUGUGACAGGUCCCAUUGACUCUCUGAUUGAAGGGUAGAUGAAGAAUUCGAUUCUCAUUUAGAGGAUGUGCCCUACAAAACAAAGCUAUUGCUAUUGUCUUUCUACCACCUUGUGUGCUUGUGAAUUUGGGUUCUCAUGUUAAAUGUAUACUUGUGACAAAUGAUUUGAAAAAAGAAAAGCUGAUCAAAGGCCUCUACAAAUAAGAGAUGAACCUGUGAGGCGAAGAGCAAGAGAGUAGCCAGAAAGGUGAGUGGGUCUCUGUAAAGCCUGUGCUCAUCAGGGAAGGCAACUCAGGGCACUGGGUG
rnacentral:lncRNA from 1 species